ACACCAGCGUGGAAUUACCUCCAAGAUUUACUGUUGAAUAAAGAAAGCAAGCUGCAGAAAAAUGUGCAUAAUGCAGUCUCAUCACAGACAAAAGAAUGUCUGUGAGUUUGUGUGCAUGUAUAUUAUACACUAUUUUAUUUAUAUAUAUAUAUUUUAUAUAUAUAUAGCUGAAAUCUAGAAGAAUGCACAUUCAGCUGCUAAUGGUGUAAUCACUGUUAUGCAUAGGGAUUAGGAUGAGAGUGAGGGUACUAAUGUUAACUGGGAACUUUAUGUUAGACAUUCUCAUUGUUGAAUGAUUUGAUGUUUCACAACAAGCACAGGAUACAUUUGUAAUAGCAGUAACAACUCCUGUUGCAGCCACAUUCAUCUUUGUCCAGAAGAGGAAACUGACGUCCAGAGAAAGGGCCUUGCCCAAGUCCAGCCAGGAGGUUAGCAGGGCGGCGGGAAGCAGACGAGAGAGCAAGACUGGGAGGGACCAGAGGGUUGCCACUUGAGCCUGAAUUUCCAAUCUGCCCAGAUAAAGAAGAGAGGAUUUGGGAGGGAAUUCUGCUGGAGUGAUGGCUUGGAAAAAGUGGUCUGAAGAUCACCAGGGAGCUUGCUGGACAUGCAGAAUCUUGGACCUACUCCACACUCACUGAAUCAGAGCCUGGAUUUUCACAAGAUCUCACAGAAUCCAUCUGCACGGUCAAGUUUGAGAAAUGCAGGAUACAUCAUCAUCCAUGACCAACCUUCCAGUAAAAACUAUACUCUUGAUUAAUGUUACAGUUUACAAAGUUGGUUUACAUAGAUGAUUUCACUUAAAUUUACUAUUUUAUCUUCAUCCCAGCCACAGUGUAAAAUUAUUCUUAUUCUUUUUAAUGAUGAAAUUGAGGUCCAGGAAGGUGCCAGACUUGCCUAAAAUCCUGUGUCUGGAGCCAGGUAAAUCCCAGUUUCAGCCUCAGUGGAUAGUAGAAUACUUUUUGAUUAUUAAUAGUGUGCUGAAUGUAGCAUUAGUAUGCAUGGUGAUUUUAGGUAUCGAUAUAAAGUAUGCUUUAUUCUCAUAGUAUUAGAGAAAAAUAUAAUGAACAAACUAACCAGGUGUGGCAUUUCAUAGUUAUUAUUGCUUAAGAAGAUUUGUGUUGUGAGGGUGGUCCUUCCAUGUCUGAGGUUCAGGGAACAUGUCUCUACUUUAUAUUAUAGAUGUCAUUCCUCUCUUUUAUUUACAGCAA